ACGGAAGGCAGCAGUGGGGAAUAUUGCACAAUGGGGGAAACCCUGAUGCAGCGACGCCGCGUGAGUGAUGAAGUAUUUCGGUAUGUAAAGCUCUAUCAGUAGGGAAGAAAAUGACGGUACCUAACUAAGAAGCCCCGGCUAACUACGUGCCAGCAGCCGCGGUAAUACGUAGGGGGCAAGCGUUAUCCGGAUUUACUGGGUGUAAAGGGAGCGUAGACGGUUUGGCAAGUCAGAAGUGAAAGGCGGGGGCUCAACCCCUGGACUGCUUUUGAAACUGUUAAACUAGAGUGUCGGAGAGGUAAGUGGAAUUCCUAGUGUAGCGGUGAAAUGCGUAGAUAUUAGGAGGAACACCAGAGGCGAAGGCGGCUUACUGGACGAUUACUGACGUUGAGGCUCGAAAGCGUGGGGAGCAAACAGGAUUAGAUACCCUGGUA
rnacentral:rRNA from 1 species